UCUCUACUACAGCAGGUUAAUGUCUCUCUCUCUACUACAGCAGGUUAAUGUCUCUCUCUCUACUACAGCAGGUUAAUAUCUCUCUCUCUACUUCAGCAGGUUAAUGUCUCUCUCUCUCUACUUCAGCAGGUUAAUGUCUCUCUCUCUCUCUCUCUCUACCACAGCAGGUUAAUGUCUCUCUCUCUCUACUACAGCAGGUUAAUGUCUCUCUCUCUACUACAGCAGGUUAAUGUCUCUCUCUCUCUACUACAGCAGGUUAAUGUCUCUCUCUCUCUACUACAGCAGGUUAAUGUCUCUCUCUCUCUACUACAGCAGGUUAAUGUCUCUCUCUCUCUACUACAGCAGGUUAAUGUCUCUCUCUCUCUACUACAGCAGGUUAAUGUCUCUCUCUCUACUACAGCAGGUUAAUAUCUCUCUCUCUACUUCAGCAGGUUAAUGUCUCUCUCUCUACUACAGCAGGUUAAUGUCUCUCUCUCUCUAUCUACUACAGCAGAUUAAUGUCUCUCUCUCUCUACCACAGCAGGUUAAUGUCUCUCUCUCACUCUCUCUCUACCACAGCAGGUUAAUGUCUCUCUCUCUCUACUACAGCAGGUUAAUGUCUCUCUCUCUACUACAGCAGGUUAAUGUCUCUCUCUCUCUAUCUACUACAGCAGAUUAAUGUCUCUCUCUCUCUACCACAGCAGGUUAAUGUCUCUCUACUACAGCAGGUUAAUGUCUCUCUCUCUCUACUACAGCAGGUUAAUGUCUCUCUCUACUACAGCAGGUUAAUGUCUCUCUCUCUACUACAGCAGGUUAAUGUCUCUCUACUACAGCAGGUUAAUGUCUCUCUACUACAGCAGGUUAAUGUCUCUCUCUCUCUACUACGGCAGGUUAAUGUCUCUCUCUCUCUCUCUACUACAGCAGAUUAAUGUCUCUCUCUCUCUCUACCACAGCAGGUUAAUGUCUCUCUACGACAGCAGGUUAAUGUCUCUCUCUCUCUCUCUACCACAGCAGGUUAAUGUCUCUCUCUCUCUCUCUACUACAGCAGGUUAAUGUCUCUCUCUCUACCACAGCAGGUUAAUGUCUCUCUCUCUACUACAGCAGGUUAAUGUCUCUCUCUCUCUACUUCAGCAGGUUAAUGUCUCUCUCUCUCUCUCUCUCUCUCUCUCUCUCUCUACCACAGCAGGUUAAUGUCUUUCUCUCUCUACUACAGCAGGUUAAUGUCUCUCUCUCUACUUCAGCAGGUUAAUGUCUCUCUCUCUCUACUACAGCAGGUUAAUGUCUCUCUCUCUCUACUUCAGCAGGUUAAUGUCUCUCUCUCUCUACUACAGCAGGUUAAUGUCUCUCUCUCUCUACUUCAGCAGGUUAAUGUCUCUCUCUCUCUACUACAGCAGGUUAAUGUCUCUCUCUCUACUACAGCAGGUUAAUAUCUCUCUCUCUACUUCAGCAGGUUAAUGUCUCUCUCUCUACUACAGCAGGUUAAUGUCUCUCUCUCUCUAUCUACUACAGCAGAUUAAUGUCUCUCUCUCUCUACCACAGCAGGUUAAUGUCUCUCUACGACAGCAGGUUAAUGUCUCUCUCUCUCUACUACAGCAGGUUAAUGUCUCUCUCUCUCUCUCUACCACAGCAGGUUAAUGUCUCUCUCUCUCUCUACUACAGCAGAUUAAUGUCUCUCUCUCUCUACGACAGCAGGUUAAUGUCUCUCUCUCUCUACCACAGCAGGUUAAUGUCUCUCUCUCUACUACAGCAGGUUAAUGUCUCUCUCUCUACUACAGCAGGUUAAUGUCUCUCUCUCUCUACUACAGCAGGUUAAUGUCUCUCUCUCUACUACAGCAGGUUAAUGUCCCUCUCUCUCUCUCUACUACAGCAGGUUAAUGUCUCUCUCUCUCUACUACAGCAGGUUAAUGUCUCUCUCUCUACUACAGCAGGUUAAUGUCCCUCUCUCUCUCUCUCUCUACUACAGCAGGUUAAUGUCUCUCUCUCUACUACAGCAGGUUAAUGUCUCUCUCUCUACUUCAGCAGGUUAAUGUCUCUCUCUCUCUACUUCAGCAGGUUAAUGUCUCUCUCUCUCUCUCUACCACAGCAGGUUAAUGUCUCUCUCUCUCUACUACAGCAGGUUAAUGUCUCUCUCUCUACUACAGCAGGUUAAUGUCUCUCUCUCUCUACUACAGCAGGUUAAUGUCUCUCUCUCUACUACAGCAGGGUAUGUCUCUCUCUCUACUACAGCAGGUUGUCACUCUCUCUCUACUACAGCAGGUUAAUGUCUCUCUCUCUACUACAGCAGGUUAAUGUCUCUCUCUCUACUUCAGCAGGUUAAUGUCUCUCUCUCUCUACUACAGCAGGUUAAUGUCUCUCUCUCUCUACUUCAGCAGGUUAAUGUCUCUCUCUCUCUACUACAGCAGGU